UCUGGUUGAUCCUGCCAGAGGCCACUGCUAUCGGAGUUCGAUUAAGCCAUGCGAGUCGAGAGGUGUAAGACCUCGGCAUACUGCUCAGUAACACGUGGACAACCUACCCUGAGGAGGGGGAUAACCCCGGGAAACUGGGGAUAAUACCCCAUAGACUAUGGAUGCUGGAAUGCUCUGUAGUUGAAAGGUCCGCCGCCUCAGGAUGGGUCUGCGGCCGAUUAGGUUGUUGUUGGGGUAACGGCCCAACAAGCCUGUAAUCGGUACGGGUUGUGGGAGCAAGAGCCCGGAGAUGGAUUCUGAGACACGAAUCCAGGCCCUACGGGGCGCAGCAGGCGCGAAAACUUUACAAUGCGAGCAAUCGUGAUAAGGGAACUCCGAGUGCCCGUAAAAUCGGGCUGUCCGCCAGUGUAAAUAACUGGUGAAGAAAGGGCCGGGCAAGACCGGUGCCAGCCGCCGCGGUAAUACCGGCGGCUCGAGUGGUGGCCACUAUUACUGGGCUUAAAGCGUUCGUAGCUGGUCUGUUAAGUCUCUGGGGAAAUCUUCCGGCUUAACCGGAAGGCGUCUCAGGGAUACUGAUGGACUAGGGACCGGAAGAGGUGAGAGGUACUCCAGGGGUAGGAGUGAAAUCCUGUAAUCCUUGGGGGACCACCUGUGGCGAAGGCGUCUCACCAGGACGGCUCCGACAGUGAGGAACGAAAGCUGGGGGAGCAAACCGGAUUAGAUACCCGGGUAGUCCCAGCUGUAAACGAUGCGCGUUAGGUGUAUCGGUGACCACGAGUCACCGAGGUGCCGAAGAGAAAUCGUGAAACGCGCCGCCUGGGAAGUACGGUCGCAAGGCUGAAACUUAAAGGAAUUGGCGGGGGAGCACCACAACGGGUAGAGCCUGCGGUUUAAUCGGACUCAACGCCGGGAAACUCACCGGACAAGACAGCUGAAUGAUAGUCGGGCUGAAGACUCUACUUGACUAGCUGAGAGGAGGUGCAUGGCCGUCGUCAGUUCGUACUGUGAAGCAUCCUGUUAAGUCAGGCAACGAGCGAGACCCA
rnacentral:rRNA from 1 species